UGAAACUGAUCUCCCCGUGAAGAAGCGGGGAUAUACAUAUAAGACGAGAAGACCCCAUGGAGCUUUAAACCUGACAGCACCCGCUCAUUCUAUACCCCAUUAUUUGCCCGACCCCUGUCUGCUCAGUUUUAGGUUGGGGUGACCACGGAGUAUAAAAUAACCUCCAUGAAGAAGGGGAUAUUUCCCUUAUUAGAGAACCACACUUCCAAGAACUAAUAAAUUAAUUUUCAAUGACCCGAUACCCGAUAAUCGAUCAACGAACCAAGUUACCCUGGGGAUAACAGCGCAAUCCACCCUGAAAGCCCUUAUUAACAGGUGGGUUUACGACCUCGAUGUUGGAUCAGGGUAUCCCAGUGGUGCAGCAGCUACUGAGGGUUCGUUUGUUCAACGAUUAAAACCCU
rnacentral:rRNA from 3 species